rnacentral:rRNA from 1 species
CAGCAGCCGCGGUAAAACGAAGGGGGCUAGCGUUGUUCGGAUUUACUGGGCGUAAAGGGCGCGUAGGCGGACUGAUAAGUCAGGGGUGAAAUCCCAAGGCUCAACCUUGGAACUGCCUUUGAUACUGUUUGUCUUGAGUUCGAGAGAGGUAAGUGGAACUGCGAGUGUAGAGGUGAAAUUCGUAGAUAUUCGCAAGAACACCAGUGGCGAAGGCGGCUUACUGGCUCGAAACUGACGCUGAGGCGCGAAAGCGUGGGGAGCAAACAGGAUUAGAGACCCCAGUAGUCCCUGUCUCUUAUAC